ACGGGUGAGGAAUACAUCGGAAUCUACUUUUUCGUGGGGGAUAACGUAGGGAAACUUACGCUAAUACCGCAUACGACCUACGGGUGAAAGCAGGGGAUCUUCGGACCUUGCGCGAUUGAAUGAGCCGAUGUCGGAUUAGCUAGUUGGCGGGGUAAAGGCCCACCAAGGCGACGAUCCGUAGCUGGUCUGAGAGGAUGAUCAGCCACACUGGAACUGAGACACGGUCCAGACUCCUACGGGAGGCAGCAGUGGGGAAUAUUGGACAAUGGGCGCAAGCCUGAUCCAGCCAUACCGCGUGGGUGAAGAAGGCCUUCGGGUUGUAAAGCCCUUUUGUUGGGAAAGAAAUCCAGCCGGCUAAUACCUGGUUGGGAUGACGGUACCCAAAGAAUAAGCACCGGCUAACUUCGUGCCAGCAGCCGCGGUAAUACGAAGGGUGCAAGCGUUACUCGGAAUUACUGGGCGUAAAGCGUGCGUAGGUGGUUGUUUAAGUCUGUUGUGAAAGCCCUGGGCUCAACCUGGGAACUGCAGUGGAAACUGGACAACUAGAGUGUGGUAGAGGGUAGCGGAAUUCCCGGUG
rnacentral:rRNA from 1 species